GACGAACGCUGGCGGCGUGCUUAACACAUGCAAGUCGAGGGCACUAUUGGGGCAACCUGGUAGUGACCGGCGAACGGGUGCGUAACACGUGAGCGACCUUGCCUCGUGGUGGGGGAGUAGCCGGCCCAACGGCCGGGUAAGUACCGCAUAUGGUAGUUUCUUCGCAUGAGGAGACUAGCAAAGCCUUGGAGCAAUCCAAUGGCGCCACAGGGGGGCGGGU
rnacentral:rRNA from 1 species